AAUCUGGGAUAACUCCGCGAAAGCGGGUGCUAAUACCGGAUAAGACCACAGCCGUUUCGGCGGCAGAGGUAAAAGCUGACCUCUCCAUGGAAGUUAGCGUUCGAGGACGGGCCCGCGUCCUAUCAGCUUGUUGGUGGGGGUAAUGGCCUACCAAGGCAGCGACGGGUAGCUGGUCUGAGAGGAUGAUCAGCCACACUGGAACUGGAACACGGUCCAGACUCCUACGGGAGGCAGCAGUGAGGAAUUUUGCGCAAUGGGGGAAACCCUGACGCAGCAACGCCGCGUGGGUGAAGAAGGCUUUCGGGUCGUAAAGCCCUGUCAGGUGGGAAGAACCGUUUCGAUACUAAUAAUGUCGAAGCCUGACGGUACCACCAGAGGAAGCACCGGCCAACUCCGUG
rnacentral:rRNA from 1 species